rnacentral:lncRNA from 1 species
ACGUUCAUUAUUAUUUUAUUAAUUUAUCGUCACACGUCAUUUACCAGUUGCCUAAUUACGAAAAGUUUCAUAUGACAUUAACCUCAAAAAUGAUCUUUGAAAACAAACAACAACAAACAGAGCAACAAAUGAACAAAUAACUACAUAAUGACUGAUAAUGAUAAAUGAUAAUAAUAACUUUAAUGAUAUGAAGGCUGAUGAAGUUUUAGACAACCAAUACAAGAUUUAGAACUUGACAUCGUGAUAAACAAAUUGUACAUUCAGGAACUCGUUUAAAUAUUAUAGGUUGAUUGACGAAUACUCUACAGUUGAUUAGAGCCCAUGAUGAUGCGAAGAUAAUUAAUAUCACCUAACUUCAAGAAACCAACGUAAUGAAGUUUACAUUCAUAACUCAUCUAACCAUUAUAGAUCAGUAAUGUCGUCAUAAUUUAAAUGAACUCACAGAUAGCAAUGGGGCACUGCACCGAAGCAGUAUUACAAAAUAUGUGAAAUAAAACUGUAAUACAAAUUGCUCUAUAAAAUUUAAUAGAAAUAAAUUUAUUUAUGAAAAUUAAGUUAUGAAGUUUUAUUUUUCCUAGGAAAAAAAUAACAUUUAUAUUUUGAUCAAUUUAGAACAUUACAGUUAAAAAAAUAUGUGUUAGAAUAACAUAUUUUUAAUAAAAUUGCAGCUUUUAAUUUUUAUACUUUUUUGCUUUUAUAUCAAUAAGAACUAACGUAAGGAACAAUUCAUAUUUAUACUAUGAAAACACAUGCAUAUUUUUUGAUGUUUUUAAAACCAGUGAAUGAUGUUGAAAUAUACUACACCUAUUAUUCUUAUUAACUAACUUUAAUUACAAACUUACACAUUAUUGUCAUUGGAAAUAAAUUAAUUUGGAUAUUCUA